rnacentral:pre_miRNA from 14 species
AUUAGAGUCCAUAGUGGUAGAGGGAAAUCAUGGCUGCAAGUGAAAGACCCCCAGAGCGGGGAGACCCUCACUCAAGUCUCGGGAUGAUGUGACCCCCCCAAGAACUCACACAAGACC